rnacentral:rRNA from 1 species
CCCUUAGAUGUCCUGGGCCGCACGCGCGCUACACUGACAUGUUCAACAAGUUUCUCCUAGUUCGACAGGACUGGGAAAUCUUUGAACGCAUGUCGUGAUAGGGAUAGAUCAUUGCAAUUAUUGAUCUUGAACGAGGAAUUCCUAGUAAACGCGAGUCAUCAGCUCGCAUUGAUUACGUCCCUGCCCUUUGUACACACUGCCCGUCGCACCUACCGAUUGAAUGUUUCGGUGAAGAUUCCGGAUAGGACUGAUUUGAUUUAUUUCAUUUCUGACCUAAAAGCUAUCUAAACCUCAACAUUUAGAGGAAGGUGAAGUCGUAACA